ACGGAAGGCAGCAGUGGGGAAUAUUGCACAAUGGGCGAAAGCCUGAUGCAGCGACGCCGCGUGAGUGAAGAAGUAUCUCGGUAUGUAAAGCUCUAUCAGCAGGGAAGAAAAUGACGGUACCUGACUAAGAAGCCCCGGCUAACUACGUGCCAGCAGCCGCGGUAAUACGUAGGGGGCAAGCGUUAUCCGGAUUUACUGGGUGUAAAGGGAGCGUAGACGGCUUGGCAAGUCUGAAGUGAAAUGCGGGGGCUCAACUCCUGAACUGCUUUGGAAACUGUCGAACUAGAGUGCAGGAGAGGUAAGUGGAAUUCCUAGUGUAGCGGUGAAAUGCGUAGAUAUUAGGAGGAACACCAGUGGCGAAGGCGGCUUACUGGACUGUAACUGACGUUGAGGCUCGAAAGCGUGGGGAGCAAACAGGAUUAGAUACCCUGGUA
rnacentral:rRNA from 1 species